GGUGCUGAUUUAGCACUGUGAAAACCCCCUUAAGAGCCAUGUGCACAGUUUAGCAUCCAUGCAUACUGACUCAUAAGCCAUCGGGAUGGAUUGGAAUUGCAAUCAGUGUAGUUUGCAAAUCAGUUCCCGUGAAUACGAAAUUUGCAUGCAUGGACUAUAUACUACUGGCAUGGUUCUGGAUGUGAUUUCGAUUCAGAUGUCUGUAAUGUAACCUUGAAUAUUCAGAAUUAAAAUGGUGAUAAUUAGCAUAUGUUCUGUACAAACUUCACGUGAAUAUUCUAUUGAACCAGAUUCUUCAUUAUAUAUAGGAACUAUGACCAUGUGUACAUCUUGAAUUGAGAGGCAAAAGUGAUGUCAUUUGACCCCACAAGCAUCUAAUUUUUAAAGGAUUUCUGUAAACUAUUUUUUACUGUGGAGAAUGUAGUUUUGAUCUGAAAUUUUGCGUAGUUUUGCUUAAAAUGUUGAAACUCUUUGCCAUCAUCUGCAAACUAGCAGGUGUUGUGUGUUGCUGGUUAACCAGUAAAGUGAAAAAAACCCUCCAGAACAUCUUUUAAGAUCACAGCGGAUUGACUUUCUUGUGGUGACUGAUUUGAAUAUUAGUGCUGAAUACCAGUGCUAUUUGUAUGUGAAGAAAGGUGUUCAGCCCAGUGACCAGGAUACUGGAAUUUUCUUUCUGUGGUAACAUUAUUUCCUACUGAGGAGAAGGAGGGAUCAGCUGUGAAGUAGCGGCUCUGUUAUUGUCAUGUUAUCUCCAAAGCAGGUGUGCAGUGUGCACUGCUGGCUUUUUACUCUCCCUAACAGAGAUUUGAUUGACUUCUUGUGUUUGUCUUUGAAAAGUCCAUUGCUCAGUUUCUGCCGCGCUCUUCACAUCCUGCUUUCUGUUUCAGUGCCUCUCUCUCUCUCUCUUUCUCUCUCUCUCUCUCACAUACACACAAACAGGCAGCACAUGGCCAGCGCAAGUGAGUCACAGUGGUCUUGUAACAAGUGGCUCUUCUCUGGGAGAGUCCCUCCAUGUGUCCCUGUGAUUAGGGCCAAUCCCCUCGAGUGUAUCAGGUGCAUGACUGCUCCGGGCAACGUGAGGCUCCUCCUCAGCUCUAUUGUCUCUGAACUGAAUUAAAUCUAGUUUAUGCCAAAACAGACUUAAGUAAUGAUGUUAACCCCUUUCAAAUACUAGUGGUUUAUAAUUAAUUAAGCAUAAUGAAAACAAAUGAGUUUUUGUUGCUCUAACAAUACACAUCUUAAAUUUAAAAGUAGGUGUAUUCUAUGAGACGACCGUGGUUGGAUCCAGCUACCUGAGACAGAGAGUCUAGCUGACCACAAGCGACUACAGGCAUUGCCUUGUACACAAACUAAGGUGUAGUAUCUUAAAACAGAUUGGCUAUAUUACAGUUAAAAAAAACAAACACAUUUUCUACUGUACUUACUUUUUAAAACAAUCUGCAAAGUAAAGGCAACUUCUAACAGAGAUAACUGCUUCUUCUGACCCACACAAAACUCAGGAUAUUGACCAUGUGUCUUUUUCACUAUUGUCUAGAGCCAGGUUAGUUGGUUAAUGUUUAGGUCAGUAAAAUGCAAAAAGCUGCAGUUCCUCAAGUGUCCACUUGAGACUGUCUUGAAAUCCUUCUUGAAGCCCAUAUUAAAAUCCCAAUUUUUACAGCAUAAUUAUUGAUUAUAUUGAUUAAACAAUUUUGAUUAUAUGACGGCUAGAGGUUCUUCAUAAUUAGAUAAUACUCAUGGGAUGGCAAAGUUGACAGACAGCAGGUUGUGUUGUAGCCAUUUGCAAGGGGAUGAAAUUCAAGCGGUCAUUAAAACAGAUAAGCCAUUUCAAAUCAUUACAAUUCAGUAUCCCAGCACAUCAGGUAGCCUGAAGUAGCUUACGGUAUGAUCCAGCAGAGGGUGCGUUCACCGUAACCUAGCUAAAUAAGAUGCCAUUUGUUAUCUGUGCUCGUUUACAUCCAGGUAAUACAUUUCUAUAACACGUAGCUACACGUAACCCGUAGCUACUGACUGAACAGUCGGGCGAUUAUUAAGACAUUUCACACAAAGCCAAAAAUGCCAACAUUGGUGUUCUUUUGAGACACAAAGUCAGGAGGUGAAAGUCUAUAUUUCGCAGAUGCAUUUGGUUGGGCAGAAAUGUUUGACUGACCCAGCAGAGGUCAAAAUGACAUAUGCCCAAAAUCCUUUGGGUUCUCUGCAGAGGAGCUGCUGUUUACAGUAACCUGGUUACAUGAUAAUUAAUAUUUGUUCAUCCUAUUACUGUAUAAAUGUAGCAGCUCAUAUUCAUGUCACCAGGAGCAAGUACUGUAUAAUAAAUCUGCAAAUAUCACGCCUCCAAGUGUACAAUACAGUGUCAUUUCAUGGUCAUGAAUGCAAUAAUUACUGUGCAGCAGUAAUAACAGACUAGAGGUGUAGUACUUAAGCCUGUUCCCUCCAGCACAUGUUCACAGACAUGCAAACACACCUCACACACCCACUAUCAACUGUAACAAUAGCUGAGCGUGCAGUGCACUCCGCCUAGUAGACACAAGCCAGGUGUAUCUGUCCUCCACCCUGUUUGCUUUUUCAGACACACUCCACACACCCUUUACCAGAAGAGUGUGUCCCAGAGUGGAGCAGAACGUGGUGGUGUGGUCACGGAGCUGCUGGCUGGCAGGUUUAAUGCUGACAAAGGUGUGUUGGUUAACAAGACUGGGCCUGCUGAAGGCCUGUUAUCCCUGUAAAGGAGCCAUUAAUGUCAGGCAAUAGGAGAGAGAAUUGCUGAGGUAGCAUUAACGGUGUGGAUGUGAAUAUUAAAGCUACAUAAGUAAGUCAUAAAAGAAGGGUUCAGAUCAUCAAAAGGCUUGUAUUAAAUCAGUACUGUCAUGCCAGGGCUCAUAGGGUCUCUGCAUUUGCUCCUACCCUCUUUGUUUGCGCUGAAAAAAUUCAGCCCAGUGAUGAGAGGCGAUAUUUGAAGUCUGGUUUGUGAAGCAGAAACUAACAAGACUCAGUCCUGUCUAUCUUUGAAUACUUUUUUUAAACUCAUCUUAUCAUAAUUUCUCUUUGUUAUGCAAUAAUUUCAGUCUCCACCAACUGGUAUUUCACAUUUGAGUGCCAUUUAGAAUUUCACAAAAUAGUGCCAACAGCCGGUAAUAUUUAGGAAUACAAUAAAGGCUGUGGUUGGUCACCUAUUGGGAUGUUAGAAACCGACUAUUCUUAGUCAUUGGCAUGGAAAUUUUGAUUUGUGCAAACAGGUCAUGUAGAAAACUUUCAAAAUUGAGUGCAAUCUAGUUAACACGGCCAAGUACACACGGUCGAAGGAAGACAGUGUAAGGUUAGUUUGUUGAAUGUGGCUAACAUUAGUAGAGCUAGCACCACCAGCCUUCAGUCAACACGCCAAGUUAAGUAGUUUUAAACACAACUUAAUCUCUAUUUCCCAGAUCCAAACACUGACAAAUCGCUGUCAUCCGUGCUUGUUUAUAUGCAGGUAGAACAUUACCACAUGAGAUGGAAAUCUAGAACCAGUUCCAGAUGUGCACUGGUUCCAAAGAGUUUGAGUCAUCAGCGUCAUUUGCCUUCAUGUGUAGAGAUUUCGUAUCAUUGCUUUGUUUCAUGUGCCUUACAAAACAAUCUCGUCUUGUGUUGUAAGAGAGAGCCAGAGCGAACACAACCAAGGAGGCAAGUCAUUGGGGUCUGAACUACUGUCAUCCAUGGCACAAUAUCAUUGUGCUUGUAAUAUCAGCUUAAUAAAGUGAACGGUGUGUGAUACGCCAACACGAUACGCCGGCAUAUCUGUUGUUCAUCUAAGCAUCAAAUUUUCAACCUCAAAUAUUCAUGAAAGCAGGAACCUGACAAGCCAUGAUUCUUGACCGUUUGCUGGGUGUGAGACCAGAUCUUAAUGAACCUCAAUACAUGCCAAAAAAAAUAGUCAACCACACCUUCAACCUUGCACAACUUCCCGAUUUUUUCAGUCCACGCAUACUCGAACACACCCAGUCAGUCUUCUCCCUUAUUCUCUAGCUCAGUCUUCUGCAGCCAGCUGAGCCUAAUUGACGCCCUUCCUAAUGACCUAAAUUACAGUCGGGCUUUGAGGUCGGAGAGAGGGUUGUCAACAAGUGUGUCCAGAGUGAAGCUGCGGCCCUUCACCCACAGUGACACUUUACCUGACUCAGCAGCACACAGCGGCCUGUCCUCUGUGAUCAACAUGCUGCAUCUCGCUGGGCUCUAAUCCCACUGUUAACCCUGUCCCUGCUGAGGGUGAGGACACUCAGGGGGGAGGGGUGGGGGGUUUGUUUCUUUGACUGUUUUGUCCUUCCUCAUUCUCAUCAGGAUGCAACUAAUCAGACACGCAGAACAACAAAUUAGGCCCACACACACACAGUGCAAAAAACACACGCAAACACAAUGCAGGCAUCUGCAUACAUUAUCCUGCUUACAAUGUCAUUCCACUGGCCGCACAUAAUGCACGGCAAAUCAAACCAAAUUAAAUUUUACAAUCACAAGCAAGGUUGGAAUGAAAAUGAAAGAUGUUCUGGAUUUAGGCCUCAACAUGUUUCUCUCUGCUGCAAAGUAUAAUCCUGCAGAAGUGUUUCAAAAAGGCUCACAUUUGCAUUUCUUUCAUCCUGUGUUCAACAUUUGGGGCCAAAAUGGAGAGCAGAUUUUCACUCAGGAGUUGUAUAAUUAUGUAUGGUGGAUCCUUGGAUGAUAUUUUAAAAAGCUGGUUUCUUGCUGAUUGGAUUUUGGGCUGAAAUCUAAAUUGUGGUUUACAAGAGCCCACUCGGGGCUGGUUUCAGAAGCCAAGGAAUCCCCAUCAACAUGCACGCUAAUUUUAGUGUUUUCCCACACAUGGAUUAUACUUGUACGAGAUCCUCAUUCAAGUUCCAUGUUAAAAAUAAUCUCCCAUCAAUCUCUGCUCCUGGUGUCAGCUUACAUUCAGCACCUGUUUUAGUGUUUUCAUGUACAUCAAGUGAAAAGUCAGCUGUACUGUUGGUUUAGGGAUGCACAAUAUAAGAUUUUUUCUAAUAAUUAUAUGAGCUGAUAACAAUGAGCUGAUAUUUCAAAGCUCAUUAACCAUAGUGAUAUUAACAGGAAUAUUGAGAUUGAUAAGAUACCAUUGUCCGUACCUAUUGAUAAUGGUAUCAGUAUCCAUGAUACCAAUGGUUGUGUUUGCUCUGGCUCUCUGUUACAACACAAGACGAGAUUGUUUUGUAAGGCACAUGAAACUCAAUGGCACAGUAUCAAUGAUAACUUUCUCCUCCUCAAUGACGACACCUCUGCCAACCUUGAUUUUAUUUUUCCAUUACCAUAUAUUUGACUUCAUGUAAGCAAUUAAUUUGAUACUAAUAGAUACUUGGUAAAUGAGACGAUAUGAUAUAUCACCAGACAAAAUACUGCAAUACUAUGCUGUAUUGAUAGUUUCUCCCACCCCUCGUAUGUGCUGCAGAUGUAGACACACAGGUAGUAAAUAUUCUACACAGUCUGUCCCAUUAAUGACGAAAAUAACUGAGGGUUUGUGUCAAGCUUUAUGUUAGAGUUUUUGUGACAUAGCAGCAUGGCCUUACAUUUUACAGUCACGUAGACUGGGCACUAUCAGCCUCUGGUCUUGUAGCAUUAUGAUAUUUGAAAUGUGUAUCACUUGAUAUCUCCAAAUAUUUUUUUUCUUUGUUUUUUUUUUUUUUGUGGAACUCUUGUUGUCUGUUUCAUGUUUUCCUCUUUACUUAUAGUUUUUUUUUCUCGUAGUUGCAUUCUUCUGGGAUUUGUGUCUACAUGAGCUCACUUACAGCUGGUUGCCCACUUGUUGCUCAACAGUCAGUCUUUAGCUGUGUCAGCACAAAGCUGUAGUGGACUGAUCUAUUCAGACAUCACCUAUAGUGACUGAACUGGACUGAGGUAAACUAACUGUCCCCUCGGCUCACACACACACACAGCUGAUUGAAAGGUCACUACUCUGACUGACACACAAUGAGACACAGUUAGCUGGUGACCAGAGACGGUGAAAGCUGCUGACCCCACAUGUUGUCUCCUCUCUUAAAGAUCCGUCAGUCAGUGAGAACGUGUGCUGAACUUGUCAGGUCUCUGAUCUCUGUUCAGGGAAACCAGAGCGCUGAUUGAGAGGCUCAGUCCCACUCUGAGAACAGACUUGCAGUUCUUUUGAAGCUGCGAUGGCUAUCUCAAGGUCAACACACAUUAAAAGGGUGUAGUUGCAGCACAAAGAGAUGUGCACACAAAGAAGUGAUAGCACCUGUGGUUUUGGAGAUAAUUACAAGCAGGUUUUUAGCGUUCAAGGUGUUUGAAGAGGGAGUUGUCAUGUAGGAUUAGAGCCUCGUUGAAGCUUUUACUCCCACAACCUUUCAACUCUGUUUGUAAGGUCAACCUGAAUUCCUUCCUGUAAGACGCCUCCAGCGCUACUCUCCCUAACCACAGAGAGGUCACUGAUCUCACUCCCUCAGCAGCACACAGUCACACCUCUGUUACUUGUAACUGUGGGAUAACUGGCCUGUCAUCACCCUGGAUUAUACUGUCUCAUAUGAUGAAAUCUCUAUAAGUGACUAACCUGAGAAAUCUGGUGAAGGUCAAAAGUUCAAUGCAGAAAUCAAAGAUAACAUAUACAGUAGUUUCUAGUUUUAAAAGGAAAGACGUCAUAUUGGGUUUGUCCUCAGCUAUCAGAUGGUUUCUGCUGUUACAACUAGCUGAAACAAGACCAAUAUUCAUAAAGACAUGCAAAACAUGGUAAAUGCUUUAUUUCUUUAAUUUGGGAAAAUAAACUUUUUUUUUUUUUUUUACAACCCAGAGUCAACAAAGUUGGGAAGCCGCAUAAAAUGUUUAUUAAACAAUAGGAUUUGAUGGUUUGCAAAUCAUUUAAACCAUAUUUAAUUAAGAAAUAGUGUGAAGACAAGACAAUAUUGCAAAUUUUGGACUGGAAAAUUUGAAAAAUAUAUGCGCUACAAACAAACGGCUGCUGGAAGAGAGUAGGUGAGUUGUGUUUAGUCUCUUUGCCAAAGAAAUUAGGCAAAGCUAAAAAGAUGUUUGGUGGCUAGUACUAUGGCUGGGACCCUACAUGUACUGUUGAUGAAGUUAGGUGCUGUUCUGAGCAUUAUUUGUGGCUAUAGAGUAGUGCUUUGGUUGAGUGUGUGGCUCUCUGUGUUGUUAUCGUGCAGCCGUUACUAAAGUUGUAACUAGAGAAGCAAGCGGUCGGCAACAUUAAUCUCU